AUUAUAGUAACCGGUCAUUAGCAAGUGUUGUAGUUCAUUAUUAAUAAUUACAUAUAAUAGGAUAUUGUAAAAAUUAAGUUACGAAAUUUUUAUUAACAUGUUUCUUACAUACCGUUAUAUUGACUGGGCCACAAAAACACGUUAUGGGCCGCAUACGGCCCGCGGGCCUUGAGUUUGACACGCUUGUUCUAGUGCCUCCAACAUGGCUUCCAUGCCUGCCUGCCUCCCUUUCGGGCAGUUAGCAGAUGUGUGCAGGGCAUCUGAGAUGAUCCAAAUCUUGGGAGCUUCAUUGUCACAUCGUGCCCAUAGGAACUUCCAGAAGUUUCUGAAAAUGCUCUCUGGGGGGUUCUUCGGUGGCAGGAAGUCAUCAUCCCUCCUCACCCAACUCCCUGCCUCCCCAGUCCCUCUCUCCCUGUCUCCCUCCCUCCCUUUCUCUCCCUGUGGAUUCACCCAGAGUGUCUGGGCCCCCCACAACAUGUGAGCACCUACUCUCUCUGGCUUUGCACUCUGCCGCCCCUCAAGGUUCCCUCAGUUCCUCAAAGCAUGGGGAAGGGCCCCUCAGCCCUCGGUAAAUCCUCCUCCUGUCAGUCACGUGGGUCCUUCCAUUGGCCCAGCCCACAGGGCAGAGGACACAGUGGGGGACAAAUUCUGCCCCUCACUUUGAGCCCUGCCUGUUGCCAACCUGGUGGGUGGGGACCCCUGGGCUGUGCUGCAGAGAAGCCCCCCCAGAGGGCACGGUCCUCAGGGGCACAGAUUUCCAAAGGGCAUUUAGGUGGUGGUAUUUGCUUUUUAAUACGAAAGACUAAAUUGGGACGCUGGUUUUUUUCUGUCCCAACAGCAAAGCCAGAGGAGUGGCCUUAGAGCUUUGAACUUUUAUGGGGGUUUAGAGAAUUCUAGCUUUCCAAUGACAAAUGGCUCCGGGUUCCAGGGACUGGCUUGGCAUCACCUUUUGUCUAUGUAUUUCUAGGCUUCUCGUCGCCUCUCAGUGUCUGUCUAGCGGCUGAGGUCCUGGAGCCUUCCCCCUCUUGGCAGCAGGGCCCGAGAAACCCUCUCUUCUGGUCUAGGAGAAUGCCCGCUGCCUGGCGUCCUUGCACAGACGGGGGCGAUGAGCGUGGAAGACACUUUCUGUACCAGGGGAAGGGAAGUCCAGCCGUGGCUGUGUGGCCUUCGGUAGAUCGGUGGGUCUGGUUGGCUGUUGCUUGGGUAAAAGCCUGAUCACAAAUACAGGCAUGAUCCACACCUCUUCCCACCGCUGCCAGAAUUCAAACAGUUGCUUUUUAUGCUGCAUGUGGGUUGGGGCUUUUCCACAGUCAUGGCCAACGGAACCCUUAAUCCCGGAGAAAGUCUGUGCCCUGCCCGCCCCGCCGCCGCUGCAGAACAAUUUGUUUGAAGCUGUCAAGAGAGAGUGUGUGCAGCUUCCGCUUCUAGCUGCGUGGUAGGAAUACAGGGAGGGUCCCCUUGGGAUUCCCAGACAUCCAGACGGACACCAAGCCCCUUCAACAGAGGAGCGAGGCCUCUCCUCCCAGGAAAGGUGGCUGGGUGAGCAAGGCAGCUGUUUUUUCAGAUCAGGUAUUCUAAUGUUUUGUUUUUUUCUGGCCACGGGGUUACCACUGCCCUCACCCCCAGAGGUACCCUUCCGAGCUGUAGGACACUUCCUGGAGCUGCCCCCACGUGGCUUGGCUUAAGCAUAUGUGGGGACAGUGGAGAGAGCUGUGGCCGGCUCCUGGGGAGUCUCCUCGGGAACUGCUCGUCGGGACGGCUGGUGUCUGGUUCAGAGCGCACUCUGCCUGGCAGGCGCCCUCUGCGUGUGUCUCUGGUCCAGCAGCUGCCAGAGGGAGUGGAUGCUCUGUGUCCUCACACAAAGAGAGCCUUGAUUACCUAGAGAGGAAAGAGGGCUGCCAGCCAGAUGGGGCCAGUCCCAGGAGCAGAGGCAGAAGCUGCCAAAGAGAAGGUGGGGGGAGGAGAGGCCCGCACUGCCCGGAUGCCCAGGAGGCGGGCUGGGCACCGUUUCUACAGAGCCGGCCGUGUGACCUUCCUGCGGCCCCGCCAUGACCUGCCCAAUAGCAGGCAGAUAGAACCAGAGAGCCCUGUGCCCAGAGAGAAACCCCUAAACAAACAGCCCAAGCUAAGAACUUUGGGGGCCCUUAGACAUCACUUGAGUCCCCCACAUGACAUCUCGGUGUACUGGGCCGAAUCCUACCUCCUUUGUUCACUCUCCUCGGACGGAGCAGGAUCCGUGAGCCGAAAAGUUGUAAAUAGUAAAUCUAUUUAUCCCGCUUUUUACUUUUCAAUAACUGUGACCUCCUGCACUGUGAAUGCUCUGUGUGUGACCUGAGAUUCUUAGCUUAAUAAAGGUGUCAUUCCAUGGGAACGAAUUGAUAUUAUUGGUUACUAAACACUGGCACGAGUCUGUUUUCAUUGUGAAGAAAAAACCUAGAGUAAACAUGAACGAAAUCUUGAUCAGAAAUAUAGCAGUCAGUGUUGUAAUGCAAUCUAUCAAAGUCUAUACACGUCAAUAAAACAAAUGAGCACAAGUUGUCUUUCCCUAU